GAGUUUGAUCCUGGCUCAGGACGAACGCUGGCGGCGGGCUUAACACAUGCAAGUCGAACGUGAUUUUUGUGGAAAUUUUUUCGGGAAUGGAAAUGAAAUGAAAGUGGCGAACGGGUGAGUAACACGUGAGCAACCUACCUUACACAGGGGGAUAGCCGUUGGAAACGACGAUUAAUACCGCAUGAGACCACAGAAUCGCAUGAUAUAGGGGUCAAAGAUUUAUCGGUGUAAGAAGGGCUCGCGUCUGAUUAGCUAGUUGGAAGGGUAAAGGCCUACCAAGGCGACGAUCAGUAGCCGGUCUGAGAGGAUGAACGGCCACAUUGGAACUGAGACACGGUCCAAACUCCUACGGGAGGCAGCAGUGGGGAAUAUUGCACAAUGGGGGGAACCCUGAUGCAGCGACGUCGCGUGAGUUUAAGAAGGUUUUCGAAUCGUAAAGCUCUGUCCUAUGAGAAUAUAAUGACGGCAUCAUAGGAGGAAGCCCCGG
rnacentral:rRNA from 1 species